AGUUGUACGAUUUAAUAAAUUAUUUAGUGUAUGAAAUGAAAUGCUAUAAAAUUUUAUACAGUCCUACACAAAACAAAUGAUUAAUUACAGAAGGUUUCAUACAAAUACAUUUAAUAAGAAUUAUAACUGGUCUUAAAUUGUUUCUCCUCCCCUCUAUUAAACAUGGUAUAUUCCACAACUGGGUGGUAAAAUUUGAAAGCUAACGGAACGGUCUUCAUCGACAUCGCUCUCUGCUCCCUUUGUUGUUGUGGUGUCCUCCUUUUGUUCAGUAAUAAUUGGACUAAUAAUCGCAAACUGAUAUUUUAUUGAAAUGGUUAAUACCUGUAGCAAUGUCUAUGUAGUAGUUAAAUGGAUUGAAUAAGGAUUUUGGACGUUCUGCUAAAACUCAGCCUAGCCUAGGAUAGCCGCUAGGCCUAUUAUUUUGCCAUUGGAAAAAAAGGAGAAGAGUCCGCACCAUGCCAAGGUCUAGGCCUAGGAUGCACAGUCAGUAUUGUGAUUGACAUUGGCCAUGGUUUACUUAUAGAAAAGGAUCCAUAAUAGGGAAGAAAAGCAACGCACAUUUGGAACAUCGGUAGAGAAAGAGCGUUUGGAUCCCAUCUGAAUUACUGCCAUAACAGAUUUCACUGAUAAGAAGUGUCCUGAGGCAUCAACCACUCUUUUGAGGCAGUCUCUGUCAAACAGAAUAAAGAAAAUGAACAAGCCUAAAAAUUGGGAAUACCAUGUA